ensembl:lncRNA
GUGCGUGCGUGCGUGCGUGCGUGCGUGCGUGCGUGCGUGCGUGCGUGCGUGCGUGCGUGCGUGCGUGCGUGCGUGCGCGCGCGCGCACAGACAGACAAACAGCCUCAUCAUGGACAUAAGAUUGUUUUUUCCAAAAAAAGAGCCAGGUUCAGGUAAGAGUGUCAGAUCAGAUGGUCUAUCAGGACUAAUGUUGUAAGUUGGAUCAAUGUUUAUUUCUGUUAUUAGAUAGAAAACACAUUGUUUGGUUAUUUGCCUUUAGGUUGACAGUACAAAGAGAGAGAGUACGUUAUUUAUUCGUAUUCUUAUUGGUAUUUUUUCAUAUUUAUGUAAUUUUUCAUCUAGUUGAAUACAAUCUAUUUGUGUAUGAUUGUCAUUCCAAAGAGGGAGAGAUGAAAAAGGGGAAGGAGAGGAGAGAGUUUAAGGUCAGGAAGAACCAGGAUGGAUCUGCAGAGACUUUGAUUCAUCUGCCGUCUGGACAUGGAGUGAUGUGGGUCUCCUCUAAUCAGACAGUGGGAUGCUGCAAGUCACUAGACUGACCUCCUGUGCUUUGGAAGGGGAGGAGCUCACAGCGCCACCUGCUGCUCGUUGAGGACAAUGCACAAUGAGGGACGUCUGCAGAGACUGAGAAAGAGUCUCAUCACAUCCUGACAUGAGGAAAAAGACUUCAUUGAAGACUACAAUGAGAAAAACUAUCAGACAGCAGACGGCUGCAUUCAAGGCUACAGGAGGAGCCCUACGAGGACGAGCCGGUCCACCUGAUGGCGGCCAGUCGCUGCGGUUCAAAGCCAACACCGACUACGUGGACUUCUACUGGACCACACGGAGGCCUUCAAACCGGACCAACAAGUUCAGCGACUCCCCGACUCGUGGGUCUGAGGACGCCGCCGAGCCUCGGUCCAGCCGGCCUCCUGUCUGUGGGUGUUUGAGUGCUGAGAGGUUUGUGGAUGCAUGUGAACGUUCUGUGUUGAAACAGCAGCUUUGGACUCAGUAACGCCGGGAAAAACCAAGAGCUCCUUUAUUUGUGACUUCCACUAAAAAAACUGAUGAAAAUAAGUUUGCCAGGGUUCUGACUGAUAACAGAUUAUUAAAUAAUGAAAAUAACUGUUUAAAUAUUCCUUUAAACAAUCCUUAGGUCUACAUUUCCUUUACACUGACUUCUUGGUAAAUGUACAAGUAUUUUUGGUGGAAUGUACCAUUAAGCCUAAUGUUCAAGGGUUCUUCUGGGAACAUACCAUUAAACCAACCUUUUAGGUAAAUGUUCCAGGAUGUUGGGUAGAAUAUACCAUCAGAUCAACCUUUUAGAUGUACAUUGGAAGAUUUUAGAGUGGAAUAUUACUCCAAACUCCUUUACACCAAGAUUUUUUGGUCUACAUUGAAGGAUUUUAGGUGGAAUAUUCCUUUGAACGAACUUUUUAAGUUUAUGUUCCAAGAUGUUGGGUGGAAUAUACCAUCAGACCAACCUCCAAGGUCUACAGUAGUGAAUUUUAGGUGGAAUAUACCAUUAAACUCACCUUUUAGGUCUACAUUGGAGGAUUUUAGGUGGAAUUUUCUUCCAAACAUCUUUUAGUCUACAUUUAAGGAUGUUUAGGAUGGUAUAUUCUUCCAAACCAACUUCUCAGGUCUACAUUUCAGGUGGAAUAUUCCUCCAUACUAUCUUUUUUGGUCUACAUUGAAGGAUUUUUUCUAAACCACCCUUUGGGGUCUAUAUUUGAGGUUUUAGGUGGAAUAUUCCUUUAAACCAACCUAAAUUUCAUGUUUUGAUCAUUAUCAAGUGAGAAACCUCAGUCCAGACUCCUCAUAACGACGUUUGAGAUUUAUGCUGCUGUUAUUUGUUUAGUCCAGACUAAAUGACAGAAAUCCACAACUGUAAUUUUAUUUCAGGACUCGGUUAUUAAAUGUCAAAACAAUCUAUGUGACUCUAAAAACUCAACAGCUUUACAAACUCUAAGAUUAAACUCUCCACAAGGAUCUAAAAUAGGUUGGACUUCUACAUGAGAGCUUUAAUUAUUCUUCAUCUACUUCCUGAAAAGUUUGGUCAAUAAAAAAGACAAAAACUAAUAUUUUCAGCUGAACUAAAGACAGACUUUGUGAUUUUUCUGCUCACAUGUUGUGUUGUUGUAAACUUCCUCUUUCAAAUAAAUAGCCUCCUAACCCCCUGGAAACCAGCGUUUGUCCUGUUUUUGUGUUGCUCCUCGGCGACCCUAGACAGCCGG